rnacentral:rRNA from 1 species
UACCAGCACCCCGAGUGGUCGGGACGUUUUAUUGGGCCUAAAGCAUCCGUAGCCGGUUCUACAAGUCUUCCGUUAAAUCCACCUGCUUAACAGAUGGGCUGCGGAAGAUACUAUAGAGCUAGGAGGCGGGAGAGGCAAGCGGUACUCGAUGGGUAGGGGUAAAAUCCGUUGAUCCAUUGAAGACCACCAGUGGCGAAGGCGGCUUGCCAGA